UGGGAAGGAGAUGGUCAUGUGGCAUGAGA
rnacentral:piRNA from 1 species